AAAAGAAAACAAACACCAAUAAUUGAAGGAAUUAUAAGACAUUUAUUUUUUCCUCUAUUGGCCUCUCCAUCUCUUUUCUCUUUU
rnacentral:ribozyme from 1 species